rnacentral:rRNA from 1 species
UAACUUACGGAACGACGGAGCUAAUACCGGAUAAUAUAUUGAACCGCAUGGUUCAAUGGUGAAAGACGGUUUUGCUGUCACUUAUAGAUGGAUCCGCGCCGCAUUAGCUAGUUGGUAAGGUAACGGCUUACCAAGGCAACGAUGCGUAGCCGACCUGAGAGGGUGAUCGGCCACACUGGAACUGAGACACGGUCCAGACUCCUACGGGAGGCAGCAGCC